AUUUUAAUUUUCAUACACUUCAAAUUAUUAACGAUAAAUAAAAAAUGUGUGACAGUGAAAGUGAGCAACCUCCUAAAAAGAAAGCGCUUUACGACACACUAUCAAGUCAUCUAGUAAAUAAUAGUAAAACUGAACGUCAAAAACGAUACAGGGAGCAAAAUAGACAGAAAUUGAAACAGCGUGAAGCUGAAAGAAGAAAACGAAUACAACAUUCACAAAGUACUGCCGGGCCAUCUACUUCUUCAAACACUAAUAGCAUUGAAGUGAGUGAUGAAGAAACAAUAUCUGUUAUUUCCCAAAGUCCACCUAGUCAUCUAGUCAACAAUAAUUACAACAAUGGUCACAAAAUAUUAUUAUUGAAGCUGGAAAUCACCAAGGUCAGUUAAACACAAGACACACCAUUAAUGUUAGAGUAAAUAAUAAUAAAACUGAACGUCAAAAACGAUACAGGGAGCAGAAUAGACAGAAAUUGAAACAGCGUGAAGCUGAAAGAAGAAAACGAAUACAACAUUCACAAAGUACUGCCGGGACAUCUACUUAUUCAAACACUAAUAGCAUUGAAGUGAGUGAUGAAGAAACAAUAUCUGUUAUUUUCCAAAGUUCAUCUGGUUUGAAAUAUAAAUAAAUAUUUCAACGAUAAUUUUUAAAAUAAUGAAUUUGGACUUGCUUGUUCAAUUUGCGACCGACUUAGGUUUGAGAAAGAUUUGAAGAAACCAUCUGCAUCUGGAUGUAUAAUUGACACUUUAACCAUUGGGAAAAAUGUGGAUGCACUCAAAAUUUGCUCCACAUGUAAAUCAGCAAUAGAUAAAAAUCACAUUCCUAAUUUCUCUGUUUAUAAUGGAAUCAUUAUCCAAAAGUACCACAGCAUUUACCAAAAAUAGAUUUCAUCACUGAAAGGCUUAUCUCACCUCGAAUUUCUUUUAUGCAAAUAAGAAGAUUGAAACAUGUUUAAAGACAAUUUGGUAUAUACGGACAAACUAUCAAUGUCCCUGUUGCUGUUGAAACCAUGGUCCGGUCACUUCCAAGAAAUGUUAAUGAUGAACUUUGCAUUUACGUACAUAUCAAAAAGAAAAUAAUUCAUAAAAGUAGUUUUGUUCAUGGCUUAAUUAGCAUCGGAUCAGUUAAACAAUGGUUGCAUUAUUUGAUUAAUACUCCUUUAUAUCAGCAUUACAAAAUAACAGUUGAUGAAUCAUUUUUUAAUGAAGAAGCACCAUUCAUUACACAACAGAAUAUUGAUGAAUCAGUGAAAACAUUGAUAUUGAAGAAAGCCUUACUGCUUAACAACAAACUUUAGUAUGGAUUGAAGAAAAAUAUUUAAGAUUGGCACCAGGCCAACAAAAUAUUCCACAAAGUUUAUUAUUUGAUGAGCAUGCUGAAGAGUUGUCAUUUCCGAGUAUUUAUAUGGGACACUUUAGUAAAUUUAAGGAUACAGUCAAUGUUACACCUUUUAUGAUGGCAUCUAGUGAACUGCGACGUAAGGAUCGUCGAGGCGUCGAUCCCUAUCAUUUGUUAUAUAUGGCUGUAAAAAUAAUGAGACUGCGAGUUUGUGACUGUUUAACAAUAGCAUUCAAACAUGUUGGUACAGAUACCAAUGUAACUAAGAAACAAGUUCAAUCCGAAGAUUAUAUUCAUAACUGUAAAGAGUCCAAUUUAGCUUUUUUAAGGUCAAUACCCAAUUCAGUUUGGUACUGGUCUACAAGAAAAAAAGAUUUAUUUACAAUAAUUCGACAGCUUGGGAAGCCAACAGCAUUCAUACAAUUUUUAUAUUAGAAAUAAUAUUUAUAUCCCUCUUUCAUUCGACAUACUUAAUCCUAAUCAGGAUAUAUAAAGAAAUAGCAAAUCAUUUAGCUUUUAUAAUAAUCCACCGAUUGUUUAAAUUAAACAUUAUCUAAAGAUUUGUAUCGAAAUGUUUUUUAUGAUUGUGAUUUUAAUCACUGUCAGAUAUCAUUAUACUUGACCCAACUAUGCCACGUCACCACUGUGCCACGACCUCCCUGUUCUGGGUUUUUUUUUAAACAUAUUAACACGGCUGCCGUGGAUUUACGGCCGGUUAUAGAAAGUGUACCUUUAGAUUGAUAAUUUUAAAGUGAAACUUUAAAAUUAAUUUUUUACACAAUGAAAAAAUUAAUACAUUAUAUAUACAGAGUGUUCAGUAAGUCAGGAAACGGGUUUCUAUUGUUCUCAUUGUUUGUAACAAUGAGAACAAUAGAAACCCGUUUCCUGACUCACUGAACACCCUGUAUAAUGUAUAUAUUAUGUUGAAAUUAUAAACUAAAAGUCUGACAAGUAUUCAAAAAAAAAAAGUAUCUAGAUAAAAAAUUGAUUUGUCUUACCUUCGUGUUUUAUUCUGUAUGUUUUAAAUUAUUAAUUUUGUAGGAACAAAAAUAUAAUACGGUUUACUUCCAAUACCUAUUCGAGUUUAAAAUAGUAUUUUUUUAAAAUUUAACAGCUAAGUAAACGGUUUGUGCUUUAUUAUCUAUUAUACUAUUUUCAUUUGUAAAAUUAUUUUCUGUACUUUUGUAAAGUUAACAAGUUUAAACAGCGGCAUUCAUAAUUCUGCGUUAAGUAUUCAAAUAUUAAUUUGUUUGUGGCGCUCUGCUUCAUACGAAACAGUUCUUCAUAAACAUGGUGUGUAUCAAAAGACAGCUGUUUCUACGCAGUCAGUAGAUAAUUCUAUUGAAAGUGAAUCUAGCGAAGAUGAUGAAAAGGAAUUUGACAAUGAGAAAUUGACAAAAAAGUUAAAACGUAUUGCCAAAAAUCAAGAUACUCAGUCUUCAACAUUUAUUGAAUCACCAGAAAACCGAGUUUAUUUUAAUAAAUAUCUUGAUUAAUUAUUGGUUCAACAUUUUUAUUAAUCAGUUAAUUUUUCUAAUAUCAUAUAAUCUAAAUAUGAUAUUAAUAUAUAACAAAUUCAAGUUUAUUCAGUUUUAUGUGAAAGAGAAAUAAAUUAAAAUACAUAUCUUUAAAUAUAAAAUUACAGUAAAUAUAAAAUUUUUGAAAAUACAUUUAUUUUACUUUAAGUGCAUAAAGAUUUUUUAUGUGUAAAAAGCAGGAUUGAGAUGCUUAUGACAUUUUGUUGUAAACUUCAUAAUUAAAACAUCAAAUUAAUCAAUCCAUUUUGUUUAGAUCAUUUAAAACAAUUAUUUCAAACAACAAACACUUGAAAAAAUCAAGUUUAAAACAUAUAAAAAAAUUAUUAAGAAAAGAUAAUAAUAUAACAUUUUAAUCCUCUUUAAAACAAUUACCGCUAAUUUUUUAAUUAACAAAAAAAAAAAACAUUUUUCUCUAUCUGAGUAAAAUGUGGCCAAACCAGCACUCUUAAAAAUGUCUGAAUUUUCACAUACAUAUACUGGAUGUUUUCAAUGCAUAAAAUUUAGGGAAAAUUUUUAAUAAAUAAUGAUUUAAGUGUUAUUUUUUUGAUUUAAUUAUAAACCUCACCAUUUUGCCCAAAUAAAAUUAUUAGUAUUAUAAGUCUUUUUAUUAUCCUUAAAAUGUUAUAACUAAAUUUUGUAACUGUUCGACUUAUAAUAAUUUAUUUACUUGUAAUUACAUUUAAAAAAUUUAAGAUAAAGUAUAACUGAAUAAAAAACUAAUAAACACCUAAUUGUUUACACUCAUUUUUAAUUAAAAAUA